GAGGGUGUAGCUUAGGGGUAGAGCGUGUGCUUAGCAUGCACAAGGUCCUGGGUUCAAUCCCCAGCACCUCCA
rnacentral:tRNA from 1 species